CCUGCAAAAAAAGGUUCAUACCCAUUUUACCUAAAAAUAUCUAUUGCAUGCGCCUUCAUCAUUAGCCUCAUCACUACAAUGUUUAUAUGUACAGAUCAAGAAGUUAUUAUCUCAAACUGACAUUGAAUGACAAUCCAAACUCUUAAACUUUCACUAAGCUUAAAACUAUACUACUUCUCCACAAUAUUUAUCGCAGUAACAUUAUUCAUUACCUGAUCUAUUGAAGACUUUUCAAUAUGAUAUAUAAAUUCAGAUCCUAACAUUAAUCAAUUUUUCAAAUACCUACUUAUCCUCAUCACGAUAUUAAUUCUGGUUACUGUCAACAAUCUCUUUCAGCUCUUUAUCGUAUGAGAAGGUGUAGGAAUUAUAUCUUUUUUACUAAUUAGCUGAUGGCACGGCCGAGCAGAUGCUAAUACAGCAGCCCUCCAAGCAAUUCUGUACAACCGCAUCAGCGGUAUUGGCUUUAUUUUAGCUAUAGCAUGAUUCCUCUUAUUCUCCAACACAUGAGACUUUCAACAAGCAUUUAUUCUAAAUCUUAUCCAUGACUCCCUUACAUUAAUUAGCCUACUCUUAGCAGCAGCAGGAAAGUCAGCUCAAUUCAGUCUCCAUCCCUGACUUCCAUCUGCUGUAUAAGGCCCAACCGCAGUCUCAGCUCUACUCCACUCUAGCACUAUAGUUGCAGAAGUUUUCCUGCUCAUCCACUUCUACCCUUUAAUAGAAAAUAACCCAUUAAUGCAAACCUUUACAUUAUUCCUAGGGGCUAUUACCAUCUUAUUUACAGCGAUCUGCCCUUUAAAACAAAAUGAUAUCAAAAAAAUGGUAGCAUUUUCCACCUCAAGCCAGCUGGGCCUUAUAAUAGUCACAGUUGUCAUUAAUCAGCCACACGUAACAUUCCUUCACAUCUGCACCCAUGCCUUUUUAAAGCUAUAUUAUUUAUAUAUUCAGGGUCCAUCACCCAUAAUCUCAAUGAUGAACAAGACAUUUGAAAAAUAGGAGGGUUAUUCAAGACUUUACCUUUCACUUCCUCCUCCCUUAUUAUUGGUAGCCUCUCACUUACAGGUGUGUUUUCCUCACAGGCUUUUACUCUAAAGACCUUAUUAUCGAAGGUCUUUAGAGUAACUAUGUCAUAGACCAACACCUGAGCCCUUUCUAUUAUUCUUAUCACCACCUCAUUGACACCUGUUUAUAGUACCCAAAUUAUUUUCUUCACUCUGAUAGGGCAACCUCGCUUCUCAGUUCUGAUUAUUAUUAACGAAAAUAAUCCCUUCCUAAUUAACUCAAUUAAAUGCCUAACAAUUGGCAGUAUCUUCCCUGGAUUCCUUAUGCUCAACGGUAUUAUUCCUACUUCAGCUCCCCCAACAGCUAUACCACUCCAUCUAAAACUCACAGCCCUAGGUGUGACCACCUUAGGGCUCUUAUUAACAAUGGAGUUUAAUCUCAUAACUAAUAACCUUAAACUAAAGCACCCAUUACAGAUAUUCAAUUUCUCCAACAUACUAGGUUUUUAUUCAGCCACAAUUCACUGUUCAACCCCCCACUCAAGCCUGUCCACAAGCCAAAAUCUGGCUUCACUUCUACUAGACCUAAUUUGACUAGAAAAAUCUAUACCAAGGACCGACCGUUUCACAAACCCAAAUUUCAGCCUCCAUUACCGUAUCUACUCAGAAAGGCCUAAUUAAACUCUAUUUUCUCUCUUUUUUUAUUCCAUCCAUUCUAACCCUACUAUUAAUU
rnacentral:lncRNA from 1 species